ACUUCAACAACAACAAUCUCCUCAGCAGGGUUUGCAACAUGACGAUUGUGGAAACUGAGUGCAACAAUCUCCUGAAAUUGCUAUUGAGUCAACGAUGAUGCUAAGGGUGACAUCCACAGAGGCGAUGUUAAUACGUUUGAUUGCAUCGAAAGCCAAAGGCUGAUUGAAACGCUCCCGAGCCCGUUUCCAGGAUAUAAUCCAGAUUGACAAAGUUAUACAAUCGAAGAUCGGUUUCCCAGACCAGCAGGCUGUCUAAACAGCUGAACGACAGGAAACUCUGUCAAGCAUUGGGCAGACAUAAGCUGCAGUGGACUCUUGAGUGUGGACUUCAGGACAAACGAGGCGCCUUACCCUCACCAGUGGGGUCACCAGGUUCCCUCACUCUAAAACGGUCCCAACAUCUCAACAG